UGCUACUGAGAAUGUGUGCGUGUUCAUGAAGUACUAGCACAUCCAAAGCACUGGGCACGAGCUCCACGACCAUCUGGCUGCCUGCUUGUGGAUUCAUUCAUAAGAUGUGGCCAACUGAGGGAGCGAAAGAGAGAGAAUCAGCCAACAUCCCUCUCCUCCUCCCCCUCCUCCUCUUCCCCUUCACCGCGGCCUCUUGCACAUGAAAGGGACCGUGCAAGGCCAAUGGAUGGCCGGUGGGGUGUGUGCUAUGCGAGGGCCCCAGACCCAGACACAACACAACACACAGCUCCACAGGCCACCACAGCUGUGCUGGAAUGUGACCUGUUUCGAAUUUUAAUGCCAGACUCGGCCCUGCGUGUGUGUCUCUGUGUGUGUGUAGAAGGAGGAGGACAUGGAUGGAGGGACAUCAACUACAGAACAACAUGCACUGCCCGCCUUAACGCUUUGACAAAUUGUGGCAGUGUCUGGUAUUUCUCCUUCAGCAGAGGAAACAGCAUUUAAAAAAAUCAAGAAGGAAGGAACAUUUUUCAAGAUUAGCUUUAUUUAUUUGCUAUCAUGUUUUAUACAUGUUUUAAUGAACAUUAAUGUAGGAUAUCAUAGACAAAAUAAAAAACAUAUCUGGUCCCUAUGCAAUUAGAUCAACAGAGCUAGAUCAGUAAAAAUAAAUAUGAAGUACACAAGUCCACGUACAAACACAUGGAAACUCAAAAAAAAUCGAAAAAUAAAAACAAUUGUCCAGAAAAUGGAA